rnacentral:rRNA from 2 species
CAAAACUUUCAACAACGGAUCUCUUGGUUCUGGCAUCGAUGAAGAACGCAGCGAAAUGCGAUAAGUAAUGUGAAUUGCAGAAUUCAGUGAAUCAUCGAAUCUUUGAACGCACAUUGCGCCCGCCAGUAUUCUGGCGGGCAUGCCUGUUCGAGCGUCAU